AUUGAACGCUGGCGGCAGGCCUAACACAUGCAAGUCGAGCGAGUGGCGGACGGGUGAGUAAUGUAUGGGGAACUGCCCGAUGGAGGGGGAUAACUACUGGAAACGGUAGCUAAUACCGCAUACCAUCGGAUGUACCCAUAUGGGAUUAGCUAGUAGGUGGGGUAAAGGCUCACCUAGGCGACGAUCCCUAGCUGGUCUGAGAGGAUGAUCAGCCAAACGGGGACUGAGACACGGCCCAGACGCGUACGGUAGGCAGCAGUGGGUAAUAUUGCACAAUGGGCGCAAGCCUGAUGCAGCCAUGCCGCGUGUAUGAAGAAGGCCUUCGGGUUGUAAAGUACUUUCAGCGGGGAGGCGUUACCCGCAGAAGAAGCACCGGCUAACUCCGUGCCAGCAGCCGCGGUAAUAC
rnacentral:rRNA from 1 species